GGGGGUGUAACUCAGUGGUAGAGCAUUUGA
rnacentral:piRNA from 1 species